rnacentral:rRNA from 1 species
AGUGAACGCUGGCGGUAGGCCUAACACAUGCAAGUCGAACGGCAGCACAGUAAGAGCUUGCUCUUACGGGUGGCGAGUGGCGGACGGGUGAGGAAUACAUCGUAAUCUACUUUUUCGUGGGGGAUAACGUAGGGAAACUUACGCUAAUACCGCAUACGACCUACGGGUUAAAGCAGGGGAUCUUCGGACCUUGCGCGAUUGAAUGAGCCGAUGUCGGAUUAGCUAGUUGGCGGGGUAAAGGCCCACCAAGGCGACGAUCCGUAGCUGGACUGAGAGGAUGAUCAGCCACACUGGAACUGAGACACGGUCCAGACUCCUACGGGAGGCAGCAGUGGGGAAUAUUGGACAAUGGGCGCAAGCCUGAUCCAGCCAUACCGCGUGGGUGAAGAAGGCCUUCGGGUUGUAAAGCCCUUUUGUUGGGAAAGAAAAGCAGCAGGUUAAUACCCCGCUGUUCUGACGGUACCCAAAGAAUAAGCACCGGCUAACUUCGUG